rnacentral:lncRNA from 1 species
GCUACGGUAACGGGAGUUCAUAUGCGGACAGUGUAGAUUAAUAUAAUUAAAACUAAAAUUAAACUAUAUAUUCAAUUAAACUAAAAAAUUAUAAAAUAUAAUACAGAAAGUAAUUAAUAAAAUACAUCGACAGAUGACAUAAUAAAUACAACACAUUAUCUUAACAGAUAGAGUGGCAGGAAAAAAAUCCGAGCCAUGUGAAUCAUAGCCAUAAAAACAAAUAUUAGAUAUCAUCAUGUGGGGUCCUACUAAAGGUGGAAGGGUGAAGUGCUAGCAUACUUCGGAUGAAGGUUGAGGCUUACGAUCUUCGGGUGUUCCCAAUCAAAUAUUUCCAUGCUGCCAGUAUCUCGACAGCUGUUCUAUUAUUGAUAAUACAUUGGUUCUCCUUUCUGGUGGUUAUGUGUAGAGCUUCUUGUGUGUAUGCUUGUGUUGGUGCAAUGAUGGAUUUUAUUAUCUUUGCCUGGUCCCAGUCUACUCUGAUAUUGUUGGUGUAAGCCUCCUCUGCUA